CCCUGGUUAGCUCAGUUGGUAGAGCGCUCCACUUGUAAUGGAGAGGACCCGGGUUCGAUACCCGGACCAGGCG
rfam:Ixodes scapularis strain Wikel colony gcontig_1108378601394, whole genome shotgun sequence.